rnacentral:pre_miRNA from 1 species
GUGAAAUCAAAGAAAGCGUUGAGAAUCGGUAAAGCUCAGGAGGGAUAGCGCCUCUUUUUAAUCUGCAUAUAUAACUCAGAUCAAUGUUGAGGCGCUAUCUAUCCUGAGUUUUACGGUUUCUCCUUGCUCUGUAACCUUCAU